rnacentral:rRNA from 1 species
AGUGAACGCUGGCGGCAGGCCUAACACAUGCAAGUCGAACGGAAGCACAGUACUUGCUUCUUGUUUCGGCUGGCGACUGGCGGGUGGUUGCGAAAAAUCUCCGAGUCUAUUUUUUAGUAGGGCCUGAAACGGGGACUAAUACGCCAUACCCGCAUAGGAACUAAGGGUGAAAGCAUGGGAUCUUCGGCUAUUGCGUGAUCCUAGGUCGGAUUAGCUAGUUGGUGGGGUAAAGGCCUACCAAGGCGACGAGCCGUAACUGGUCUGAGAGGAUGAUCAGUCACACUGGAACUGAGACACGGUCCAGACUCCUACGGGAGGCAGCAGUGGGGAAUAUUGGACAAUGGGCGAAAGCCUGAUCCAGCCAUGCCGCGUGUGUGAAGAAGGUCUUCGGAUUGUAAAGCACUUUAGGUGGGGAGGAAGGGCAGCAAGUUAAUACCUCGCUGUUCUGACGGUACCCAAAGAAUAAGCACCGGCUAACUUCGUG